rnacentral:lncRNA from 1 species
GAUAUUUGUAACCACUUUUGGUAUUGUUGCAAGACUGCAGAUAACCCUGAUCAAUUUUUUUGUAAGUAUAAUAGAAGUGCAAUUGCAUCGACCUAGAAACCUGAUUGUAUUGAGAAUUUUUGUGAAUAUGACCUCAUGCCUCUUAAAUUUGUAACUGGUUUUACUCAGGACAUGUGGACUGGACUCCUCCACCAUGUGACAGGAAAACAUUCCUGGGCCUUGGGUGCCUGUCAUCAUGGCCUCUUGAUUGAAAACAGUGAGAAGGAGUUGAUCAAGAGCCAUUCAGUUGCACACCAGAAACUGUCAUUAAUUGUUUUGGAUGGACGCUGGCUGAAAAAAGUCCACAAAUAUUUAAACUUCAGGUCAACUGCAGAGCUGGAGUCCUUUCAUAAUCACAUACUCAUGUAUGCAAGCAAGCGCUUCAGCUUCUCCCCACCAGUUUACGCAGCUCGAGCAAUGCUGGCUGGCCUGGACUACAACUACCACAUCCACAGACUACCAAAGAAGAACAAUGAUGGCUCCAUUCAAUAUUGCAGGUUGUUUAAUAAAAAAUCCAAGAAGUGGAGCCUCUACACAGUAAAAGAAGACAAAGACUAUGGCUACAUCCCAGACCUCCAGAGUGCAAUCCUUAGGAAAAGGUUGUCUGCUGUGGGAGGGUUGCCACGGACCAUAACAAGGAGGCCUGACGAUCCCCGUCAAUAUGGGGUUCCGUCAGGUGUCCCUACUCCAGCCACCCAGGACCUGUUGCAGAUGCAACUGAGCAGAGGGCGAGGUGAGUUGACUUAUUUUGUAAGUUGAUUAUAAAGUACUAA